rnacentral:lncRNA from 1 species
AUGUUUCCAACCAGAUGGAUUGUGAGGCCCGGCAGCUCCCUAGUCCCUUUUCUUCCCCCUCCUCCCAGCGUCCCCUCGCUGCCCAAGCCCCACCCUUCGGCCUUCGCAAGUCUACCAAAAUUUCUCUUUCCAGUCCUCCCCUGCAUGACGGAUGGCACCCAGAAGGCACUAUUAUUUGAAAAUGCAAACGGGGCUGCUAGUCACACCUUUGCAGCUGCUUUUCCCAAGCCCUCAGAGAGACCCCUGCUGCUGGGAGAGGCACAGAAGUGAAAGGGAUGGGGAGGAAGGAAAAGCAGUGAAAUAAUCAGGGUGAGUAGGUUGGAAACACAGAUCCCAACGUGGCACCAAGCACCGUCGCCGUCGUGGGUACUUGAGUACGAGGCAUUCACAUUCCCACAUGAAAUGAGAUGCUAAAUUGCUAAUAGCUCCCUGGGGUUUGGUUCCCUGCUGCGAAGCCCUCCACGAUUUCAUUCGAGUAUAGACACAUUAAAAUAUCACGGUGUAUGCUCACAUGUGAGGCAUCCACAUCCUCUUGAUGUUGAUGCUGAAAUUCAUCAGGAAGAAAAACUUCUUUCCCACGUAAUCUGACUGCAAGUCAGUUGUCAACAGGCACUUCCAAAUGAGAUCACUUACUGUGAGCACCACUGUGACGUCGGAGGCUCCUAGAUGCUGUAGUGAUACACAGAACAAGUUUUGAGCUGGUAAUUUAAUUCUCAGAAUUUGUGUCUGUUCCACAGUAAUUAUUUCUUUUUCCCCUCUCCAACCUGACCCUGCUUCAGCCUUCAGUUUUAUUUCAUAAUUGUUCUUAUUUUUAAUCCCCUUGGUCCCUCAUCAUCUUAAACUCACUUGACCUUUAAGAUCUUGAAUUUUCAUUUUUGUUCCCAUAGCUGGUUGGAUUCCAAAGCUACAAUCCUGGUUUUAAAGUCUGAUCAGGCAUCCUGAGAUUUGUGUGCCUAGCAUGUCUUCAGGUAGGUGGCAUCUGUAACUAGAUAGCAAUCUAUUUUAAAUCUGUUCUGGUCUGAAUAUUUAUCCUGAGUUUUCUCAAGUUAUUGUCUGAGAGCAGUUGCCUAUUUUCUCUUUUCAUCUUGAUCUUUUCCUCCUGGGUCAGUAACUUUUUUAGCAUGUCCUUAGGUACUUUGAUAAGAAGAUUUUGAUUUAGCUAGCCUUUUACAGAUUCAAGAGCAUGGCUCCUGUUUCUUAAUAUUGCAAGUGAAGUUUUGAUUGUUUUUGUGACAAUUAUUGAUGCGUGCAAUAUAUCCAGACCUGUCAU